UGCGGAGGAUCAUUAUCGUAACAACGGAGGCGUGAGGGCUGUCGCUGACCUGAACCCUCAGGUCGUGCACGCCCGAGCGUUCUCUUACAUCCAUCUCACCCCAAUGUGCACCACCGCGUGGGGUCCCCCUUUGGCUUGUUCGGAGGGGGGCUUUACGUUUUCACACAAACUUGUAUGCAGUGUAGAAUGUACCUUUGUUUUGCGAUCACGCAAUUAAUACAACUUUCAACAACGGAUCUCUUGGCUCUCGCAUCGAUGAAGAACGCAGCGAAAUGCGAUACGUAAUGUGAAUUGCAGAAUUCAGUGAAUCAUCGAAUCUUUGAACGCACCUUGCGCCCCUUGGCAUUCCGAGGGGCACACCCGUUUGAGUGUCGUGAAAUUCUCAAAACCCUUUUUCUUUUCGGGAAAGGGUUUUGGAUUUGGAGGCCUUUUGCUGGUUUCAUGUCGAAGCCAGCUCCUCUUANACGAAUUAGUGGGGUUCGCUUUGUCGAUCCUUGACGUGAUAAGAUGUUUCUGCGUCUUGGGUUUGGCACUGUUGCCCGCUUCUAACCGUCUCAUUGACAAUGAUGGCGUUCCGGUCGCUGCCUCUCCGUAGGUGGUCGGCUUGACCCACAAUAAAACCUUGACCUCAAAUCGGGUGAGACUACCCGCUGAACUUAAGCAUAUCAAUAAGCGGAGGA
rnacentral:sRNA from 1 species